rnacentral:rRNA from 1 species
ACGGGGGGGGCAAGCGUUGUUCGGAAUUACUGGGCGUAAAGGGCUCGUAGGCGGCCAACUAAGUCGGACGUGAAAUCCCCAGGCUCAACCUGGGAACUGCGUCCGAUACUGGAUGGCUUGAAUCCGGGAGAGGGAUGCAGAAUUCCAGGUGUAGCGGUGAAAUGCGUAGAUAUCUGGAGGAAUACCGGUGGCGAAGGCGGCAUCCUGGACCGGCAUUGACGCUGAGGAGCGAAAGCCAGGGGAGCAAACGGGA